GAUGAACGCUGGCGGCGUGCCUAAUACAUGCAAGUCGAGCGAACGGACGAGAAGCUUGCUUCUCUGAUGUUAGCGGCGGACGGGUGAGUAACACGUGGAUAACCUACCUAUAAGACUGGGAUAACUUCGGGAAACCGGAGCUAAUACUGGAUAAUAUUUUGAACCGCAUGGUUCAAAAGUGAAAGACGGUCUUGCUGUCACUUAUAGAUGGAUCCGCGCUGCAUUAGCUAGUUGGUAAGGUAACGGCUUACCAAGGCAACGAUGCAUAGCCGACCUGAGAGGGUGAUCGGCCACACUGGAACUGAGACACGGUCCAGACUCCUACGGGAGGCAGCAGUAGGGAAUCUUCCGCAAUGGGCGAAAGCCUGACGGAGCAACGCCGCGUGAGUGAUGAAGGUCUUCGGAUCGUAAAACUCUGUUAUUAGGGAAGAACAUAUGUGUAAGUAACUGUGCACAUCUUGACGUUACCUAAUCAGAAAGCCACGGCUAACUACGUG
rnacentral:rRNA from 1 species